rnacentral:tRNA from 1 species
GAUAAUUAGUUUAGUGCAAAAUAAAUGAUUUCGACUCAUUAGACUAUGAUUAUGUCAUAAUUAUCAA